rnacentral:lncRNA from 1 species
GGCUUCUGGGUCAAAAGCAGGGUAGGUCCUAUAGGCUUCAAAAAGUCUUUCUAGAUAUUCUCUGAGGCUCUCAUUCUUUCUCUGCAUCACCUGGCUCACCUUAGAUAAAUUUGUGGGCCGCCCGUUAGAAUCUGGCCAUAGACCCGGAGCUUCUCACCUCUCCUUACCUUGGGGAGCGUUAAAAUCCCAGUCAAAUGAAAGGCUGCAUCGAUAGAUAUCAGCCUGAACAGAGUAGGCAGUCCAUUUGCUCCCAGAACCAAAUUUCUGGGCGGGGUCCCAGGAUCCUCUCCCUCCCACUCUGUUGUGAAGAGGACCAGGAGCAGUUGCUGACAGUCAUCCAGGUUAUUGAAAUUACCAGAGAGAGUGGAAGCAGCCAA